UAGGAGAGGGGCUAGCGUUGUUCGGAAUUACUGGGCGGAAAGCGCACGUAGGCGGACUAUCAAGUUGGGGGUGAAAUCCCGGGGCUCAACCUCGGAACUGCCUCCAAAGCUGUUAGUCUAGAGGAUGUGAGAGGAUAGUGGAAUUCCGAGUGUAGAGGUGAAAUUCGUAGAUAUUCGGAAGAACACCGGUGGCGAAGGCGACUGUCUGGCACAUUUCUGACGCUGAGGUGCGAAAGCGUGGGGAGCAAACAGG
rnacentral:rRNA from 1 species